GAUGAACGCUGGCGGCGUGCUUAACACAUGCAAGUCGAACGGAAAGGCCCUGCUUUUGUGGGGUGGUCGUGGGGCGAACGGGUGAGAAACACGCGUGUAACCUGCCCUUGACUUUGGGAUAACUUCAGGAAACUGGGGCUAAUACCGGAUAAGAGCUCUUGCUGCAUGGUGGGGGUUGGAAAGUUUCGGCGGUUGGGGAUGGACUCGCGGCUUAUCAGCUUGUUGGUGGGGUAGUGGCUUACCAAGGUUUUGACGGGUAGCCGGCCUGAGAGGGUGACCGGCCACAAUGGGCCUGAGAUACGGCCCAGACUCCUACGGGAGGCAGCGGUGGGGAAUAUUGCGCAGUGGGCGGAAGCCUGAGGCGGAGACGCCGCGUGCGGGAUGACGGCCUUCGGGUUGUAAACCGCUUUCGCCUGUGACGUGGCGUGAGUGACGGUAAUGGGUAAAGAAGCACCGGCUAACUACGUG
rnacentral:rRNA from 1 species